CCUCAUCCCCUUCCCGGCGCUUGACCACCCCUCCCCCAUUCCCCAUCCCCCACCACCCCAGGCUCCGCGUCCCCUCUACCUGCCCGCUAUUCACUCCGAGGCUCAGGAGGUCUACAAAGCCUAUUGUUCAAUCGGGAUUCAACCUGAGCUCAUCAGCCAUCCUUUCUGUACUGUAUCUUUUCCCCUUUGAUGCUCUCUAUGGCCCAAGAAGAACCAAUAGCCCAUGAACCACCUCAAAUGCUACAUUGAAGUCUGACCAAUGUGGAGUUGGUUCGAUAAACUCUCUUCUGGAUGGAGUAAAAUAAUCCCACAUAUUACAUGGCGUGGACUCCACAGUCAGAUGCUAGGUCUGGCAAGGGCUUCCUCAACUCAUCCUCCAAGAGGACUAUUCUAACAAAUUCCCAAGAAGAGUGCAUAAGGUAAAAAGAAAAAGGACUGAGGCUGAACUCUGAGACUGCUAGCAUUUGAAAAGCCAAUAGAGGAAAAGAAGGUCAAGAAGAAAGCCGAGAAGAAACAGAAGAGUAAGAGAAGAAUCAGGAGACGGUAAUGUCAUGGAAGAAAUCCAAAAGAGGAAAGAAUUUCAAGGAGGAAGGAGUGGUCAACAGCAUCAAGUGUAGCAAAGAUUUCCAAUAAUGUCAAGGAAAGAAAAACUACCUUUGAAUCUGGAGUCAUGGAGGUCAUGGACCCCAUAAUAUGAUGCAUUUAAGCAGAAAAUAGGGGCAGCAGCCACAGUGCAAUGAAUUGAGCAAAUGCAAAAGCCAGAAGUAAAAUAACAUUUAGAAUCCUUUUAAAAUUUUUCAAAGAAGGAACCCUCCCUGGU